rnacentral:rRNA from 1 species
CAAUACCAUGAGUAAAGUGGCGCGCGGGUGAGUAACACGUGACUAACCUACCCUGGAGUGGGGGAUAACCGAGGGAAACCUCAGCUAAUACCGCAUAAUACCCACGGGUCAAAGGAGCAAUUCGCUUCAGGAGGGGGUCGCGGCCGAUUAGUUAGUUGGCGGGGUAAUGGCCCACCAAGACUGUGAUCGGUAUCCGGCCUGAGAGGGCGCACGGACACACUGGAACUGAAACACGGUCCAG